AGAUAUUGUCAGUGGUCAGGCUGAGAACAGUGACACUGGAGAUGCACGUUCAUGUAAAGACUCCAUUUUCUAUUUUCAGUGUUUGAACGAAAACAAGGUUUCCCGGUUGGAAUAUUAUCGCUAUUUUACAAGAAAAAUCGCAUAAAAAUUUAUUUUAAACAGCGUUUGACAUGCUUCGAAGUACGGUAAUGGAAUAUUCUGAAUUUUUUUGUCACGAUACGCGCCGGCGGGUCACCCUUCGGAUAGUGUCUUGAACGCAAGAACAAAACUCAGCUAUUUGGAUAUAACUAUGGAUUAUUUGGAACCAAAACAACAUUGGGUGUUGAAGUAGAAGUCCUGGGAGUGCAUUCUGAUGAAGAACAGCAAAGAGUGCGAGCUGAUCAAGGGGUCGAAAAUGUAGAUAUUGCCAGAUGUUCACUAUCCGAGGAACAGGCCGUGGAAGCUUUAUUGCUGGCAAAAGUGUCCAUAACCAGAGCACUACACAGCUGAUUCAAAUGAUCAAGUCAUCAUCAAGUUUCAAGUGGUUAUAUCAGCUGUGUUGGUGAACCCCUCCCGCAUCUGAACAGGCUGACACAGAGGGCACAGCAUGAUCAUAAGUGAGAGGUCACUUGGUUGGGUCAACAGUAUGUUUUGAUGUAAGAGAGGAAGCCAGUCCCGUCAUCGCCACCUCACCCGUUCUUAAGAUAACCUUUGGGCCAACUGUGGGCCCAUGCUGGUUAGGAGACACCGCUAGAGACACUGUAAUUGUGAUGAACUGAGAGAAUAUUAGGGUAGCUCUGUAAUUAAUUAAUGAUAUGCUGUCUGCCUCUGUUCUUACCUCUUUCCCUUUGUCUUCUACACCUCUCUCCCCACCUCAUCUUUCUUCCUUGUUUUAUAAUGCACAGCAUAUGUGCAUUGAAGUACAGAUUAAUAUUAUAUUAUAAAUACAAGUUCACAAUUAUCAUAAUUAUAAUGCAUGUAUUAUGUAUUUAUAACACCUGGAUAAUGAACUUCUUUCAAUAAAGCGUUUCACAUUCUCCACUGGUUGAAAUAUUAUCCUUUGUCCUCAGAUUAAUGCAGAUGAAGGGAGUUAGAUAUGCAUAGUUUUUUAUUCUGUAUAUAUGAAUUAAAAUCAGCCUUUAUUUAAA
rnacentral:lncRNA from 1 species